ensembl:lncRNA
AUGUCUCCAUCUCAAAAACGACUGUAUUUUUGGGAAGGUUGCUUCAGAGUUCAUGUUCUAUUGGCCAUUCCACUGAUUCUGCAUCUCCUUGACAAACGAAUCUUGGGCCAAAAGUUCAUUGUGGGGACACUGUUGUUACAUUGGGAGAUUUACAUCAAGAACCAGCAUUAUGGAGAUAGAAUUUGCAUGGAGUUCUAUCAUCAAAGCUUUACUACAAACUGGGGCCAUUGGGUCAUUUUUAGAUACAGACCAUUGCUUAGUGGCUUCUCCACAGAGUGAACUGGAUAGUCAUGUGCCACUCGGCAAUUUUCAAGGUAUGAGUUUGUUCUGUUUGAUGUUCUGUCAAUUUCUCUAGCGGACAAGCAGCCAGAUGGUUAAUUGCCCUUCCUUAAGCACAGACACACUCACAGAAAAGGUGUGAGGAAGGACCCCUCCGAAAGAGGAGUCUCUCACACAGCAGGCUGAGCCGCUGUACAGAGUUGAGAUUGUUGACCCACUGAUUGUGCCUGAAAGGCUUUUCAGCCACACAAAACCCUGGGCUUCCCCAUUAGCAUAUCAGAGGUGGCACAGUGGUGGGAAAUACUGCAGGCAACAAAGGAUGUGGCUCAGUGGCAUUGUCUCAUUGGUGCUUACAGAAGCAGAAAAAAUGAUAAUCGGGCCAGAAUUGCAGUGAUGGACAGAUGUUGACAUAUUUUCUUGGGCGACCAAUGUCUUCCACUCCCCCUCCAUCAGUUGAUCCAUUCUCAAGACUCCCUACCCCUCCAAGGCACAGUUGCUCAACCAAUACACAAGGAAAAGCCACGACACAAUCAAAACCUCUCUUGAGCUGAAACGAAGACACAGUUUCAGCUUUAACUUGAACCAUGCCUGGAAGGGAUUUGUCAUUUUUCUCAGACUUGAAAGUCUUAUAUGGAACAUAACUCGAUGAUAAAUAGGAGAGUCAGCUGCCAGUUACUAAUACCAUCAUAGAGACUGAGUCACUGUUGAUGUCACCGCGCCUCUUUGCAGGAUCAGCCAUCUUAUUAUUUUAUACUGAAAGGGAGAAAAGAGGUUUAGUGAAAAAGUCACUUUACAUUCUUAUUGUCCUAAAUUAUUUCCCAUCUCUGAAGUUUGAGACCAGUGUUCUAUGCUCUAUAGCAAUGGCUCUCAACUGGAGGUGAUUUUGACCCCCAGGAAUUGUGGCAAUGUUUGGAGACAUUUUUUUUGUGGUCACAAUUGGGUGAGGGGGUGCCACUGGCAUUUAGUGGAUCGAGGCCAGGGAUGCUGCUAAAGAUGCUACUAUGCACAGGACAGCACCUAUGAUAAAGACUUAUUUGGCUCAAAAUGUCAAUAGUGCCGAGGCUAAGGAACUCUAUGGCCUUCUUUGUGAAGCUAAUUUACAAAUUCUUACUGAGUCAAAUUGCUAUUGAUAAAUGGGCACCUUGAGGCACUUAUAGCCCCAUGCUCACUAUAUUGAUUUAGAAUAUUGAACAGUUCUUGACAAAGAACAGGGCCGAAAUUAAAAUUUCUUGUCCUUGGCUGCAAUAUUGAAAGAUUUUAUCUAAGCAGUGGGUGUAAAGUUUGAGAAAAUUGUAUAUUGAGCACUGAGGGGUAAAAAUUUUCCUACAUGCAGUAAAUUGACUUUCUUACAGCCAACAAUAUGUCUUUUACUUCACGCUCAGCUGAGUCUUAAAUAUGCUCCAAAUGGCAUAAAAUUUGAUUGAAGAAUUCUUCCUCCUCACUUGGAAAUAUUUAUAACCUCUUGGAAAAUGACACACUGGGACACACUAUAUGUUGUUCAAUUAUAUAUAUUAUAUAUAAC